UGGGACAGUCAUUGACUACUGACAAGCUUAAGGCAAGGGAACCUACAACCAUGAAGCAAAAAUUACAGUUCUUCUUUCUUUUCGUCUGCAUGAUUUUGUUGUCAGGAGUUUUCGUUACACCAGCAGUAGGAGAGUCACCAGGAUGCACUAUAAUGCCCAGAAAAGUGACUUGCUCAAACCCCGUACUACGUAAAGUAUGCAAGUGUUAAUUGUCAACGAUUCUUUGAAAUGGAACAUCAAUGUGGAAUGGCCGCCACUUCUAGAUGACACACCAAUAAUCAGAAAAAGUGUACCGGUUAUUAAAUAAUUAAAUAGUGUUCCUGUAUAUAUUAAAUACGCAUAUUUAGACAUUAUACAGAUAAACACAUCCGUUCCAGAUUAUUACCAUUCGUCACGUUCUACACAAAAACUGCACACAGUUAAAUAUUUAUCGCGUAAAGUUGGAAUUGCAUUUUCAAACGUUCUCAUAAUCUACAUUAAAAAUAUUUUACACGAAGAUUUCCUUAUAAGAAGAGGAAAUCACUGUGAUAGUUAUUGGCUACUGACAAGCUUAGUACAGUAUAACCUGCAAUAAUGAACCACAACCUACAGCUCCUCUUUCUGUUUCUUUCCAUGAUUUUGUUGUCAGGAAUUUUUGUGACACCUGCAGUUGGAGUAACCAGCUGUAUUGCGCCACGGUAAUGUGUAAGGACUGAGAUAUAUUAUUAAUCGGACGCAUUCACGAUCCUUGAUAUGUAUAAUAUCAUUUCCGUUUCUGCAACUCGGAUGAUGUCCUAACGGUAACCGAAACCUCACGCAUGAUCCGACAACGCACAUAGUUCUCACGAACUAUAUAAUUGGACUGACGAGGUUUGGUACAUUCAGGAUAUGUAGCGAAUAUGCAAACACCGUACAUGCAAGAAUAUGCUAACUAUAUGCAAAAUGUAUAUCAUCUAUAUAGAACGUAGAUGAUAUUUAUGUGAUAUUUAUGUGACGUACGUAAGAAUGUGUUUAACAUUGCACAAACUUGUCUAAAAAAUUAUUCAAAUAUUAACUUUUUUGCAUUAGAAACAAAAUAUAAUUUUAUUCGUAUUAUACAAAUAACAUAUUUAUAUACCUUUGCAGCUAUUUUAAACUGUAUUAACAUUUUUAUGUAUUAACUCUAUACAUUUUUAAAGAAUUAAUCUCUCAAAGUUCAUUAACUUUAUCAACUUUCUCAGUAUCUGAUUAUUAAUAUUACACUGUACAUAAUACUUCUAUGCAUUAGGUUGCAUGCAUGAUUUUAGUGAGAAUAACAUACAAUACCUUUCUCCAAAUUCUCAAUUGAAAAUUGAUGCCUUUUGUCAGACGUAUAAGAUUACCUUUUUAAUAUUACACAAUGUAAUUGACACAUGUUUCAAAUUACAGCAAAAGCAUCUUGCAACAAUUUCUGAUUGGCAGUCCUUACAAAAUAGGCGAACUUCUUUAUAUUUUAAAAUGUGCAAGAGAAAAAAAUAUAAUUUUUAUGUCUUUUAAUGACGAAACAUAUUUCUGUUAAUAUUUUAUUUGUUUUGUUGAUUUCUCUGGAUUAUUCAUGUGCAUAAAUUCCCGCAGUUUGGUUCCAAUUGUAGAACAACUUUUUAAUAAAUUUGUAUCCCACUGCGAACGAAGCUUUUUCAUAGGGCAAAGCACAUUGGACUGGAAUGGCUCAAUUAUAAGAAUUGUUAUGUCAUUCACAUUAUUAAUGCUCAGCGUUUUGGAAACACCUUUACUAUACGCGUUUUACGUUAUUCAACUAACAUGCUCAAUAUGAGUUUCAUUUUUGUAUAAUUUUAGGACCAGUUUACUAGAUAAUACGCAGAAUAUGAACUUGCGGAAAAAUUUCAAUUGAUUUGAUUAACAUUAAUAGAAAUAAGAAAAUUACCGAAUCAAAAUACCUUUAAAAUGCGGAAUCAACAGUUUUAGUUUCCUGAAAUUGCUUUGAUAUGUUUUUGCCUUGAUCUUGUUAAAACACUUAAGAAACAUGUAGCAAAUAAAGAUGAAGAAAUGGUAAAAUUAUGGUUUCCAAACAAAAAAAAUAAGCUUUUAUAUUCAUAUAACUCGACCAAAUCACAGGAAACGCAAUAAUAUAAUUGAUUUCUUAGAUAUAUUUUUUUAAAUAAAGUAAUUCAGUAACUGAAACAGUUACACAAAGACACAAGUCUUUGACGUAAGUAUUGGUACAUAUAUUUUAUAAUAAUUUAUGCUAAAUAGUUUAAAACCGAAUACUUCAUAUUUUUACGUUCUUGUUACACUUAUUUACAAAGAACUCAUCACGGUAAUUGAAGCCCAGUAAUUGACACACAGUAAUUAGAAAAGGCUCAGUAAUUGAGACACAGUAAUUACAUUUUCAUCUUUUCAAGGGCACAGUAACUCGCUCAAAAAAUUGUCAUGUAUAUUUUGUUAAAUAUUUCGUAUUGCUUGUAUAUUUUACUUAUGAAAUUUAUUAUUAAAAUGUUUGAAAUAGUGAGACAUAGGUUAAAAAACCGAUCUAAUUCGUUAAAAACUCUGGACAUUACUUUAAUCGACACAGUAAUAACAGUAAUUGGUAACUUCCAAUAAAAACACAUCUUCCGUUCUGGACCUGAAAUGACUAACGCAUCGUCGAUCUCUUAGAUAUCAAAUGCGCUGUUAUACCGAGAGUAUAGUAGCUUGCAGAAACCCGACACUUUUCUUAUUAUUUUCUUUUAGCAUUUUCAUAAUAAUAAUAAUAAUAAUAAUAAUAAUAAUAAUAAUAAUAAUAAUAAUAAUAAUAAAAACACUCUACACAUUUGUUUGUUUCGGUCAAGUGUUAAUUAGCAACGAUUCUUCGAAUAUAAACACCAGUGUGGCCAGAUGACUCACCAAUUAUCGAAAAAAAUGUAUUGGAUACUAAAUAAUUAAAUAGUGUUUCUGUGUAUACAAACGCACAUUUUCCUUGGACAAUAAAUAGAUAAGUGCAA